AGGUGGAGUGCGCUUUGUGGUCGAUUCAGGAAAGGUGAAAGAGAUGAUUUUUGAUCCAAAGGCCAAGAUGCAGAGGCUGCAGGAGUUCUGGAUCAGCAGGGCCAGUUCUGGACAGAGGAAGGGACGAGCAGGCAGAACUGGACCGGGAGUCUGUAACUGACUCUACUCUGAAUCUGAUUAUGAUGCUUUCGCCCCAUAUCCUGUUCCUGAGAUCCACAGGGUGGCACUAGACUCCCUCAUCCUACAGGUGCCCUCUCACAUUUGCGAAAACAAAUCUUUGGUUUCAUGAAAAUUAUAUAAAAAAAGCUCCACCAGCUGAAGCGAGACCAUGAGCUCCAGGAGAACACCAAGAGGAAAGUUCUGUGCCUGGAGGGAGACGCCUGUCUGGGUCUGACGAUGAGGGAGCAGGAUCGAGCAAGAAGAGAAGAGAUGAUGCUGAACAGACUGUGGACAUACAGGUUAGUUACAGUCCGAGGCGUCUGACAGCGCUGCAGUCUCAGAACCUGUACAUCGGACCGCAACUGGAUCCCGAUCUGUAUUCCGCUUCGGCUGUCGGCUCUGUUUCCUGGCAUGAAAGCCAAACCAGAUCCCAUUAAAGGCCUGCAUUUGUGCAGCUAAUUUACCUACAACUGUCUGUGUCAUGUUGUGUAGGACUCUUAAGGACCUGUACAGUGAAUGUUUACGCACUUUUUGGAGCUGCCCUCACUGUGACCUUUACAUGCCCCUGACGCCUUUGGAGCGCAUGCAACACGAGGCCACCUGCAGGCCGCCGGAGGAACAGCAGCCUGAGGAAGUCUAAAAGUGUACAAACGUCCUCAUCAUCUUCAUCAGGUCUGACUAGGGUCUAUCAUUGUGGCAUCUGUAAUAAAGACCCGACUCUCACCUCGACGGAGAUCCUAAAACACAAGCGCCAGCAGCUGUCCUGAGCUCACACAUGGGUA